UACGUAGGGUGCGAGCGUUGUCCGGAAUUACUGGGCGUAAAGAGCUCGUAGGUGGUUUUGUCGCGUUGUUCGUGAAAACCGGGAGGCUCAACCUCUGGCGUGCGGGCGAUACGGGCAGGACUUGAGUACUGCAGGGGGAGACUGGAAUUCCUGGUGUAGCGGUGGAAUGCGCAGAUAUCAGGAGGAACACCGGUGGCGAAGGCGGGUCUCUGGGCAGUAACUGACGCUGAGGAGCGAAAGCGUGGGGAGCGAACAGG
rnacentral:rRNA from 1 species